rnacentral:rRNA from 1 species
AACGAACGCUGGCGGCGUGUUUAAGACAUGCAAGUCGCACGGAACAAGACAUGUAGUAAUACUUGUUUUGUUUAGUGGCGCACGGGUGAGUAACACGUGAAUUACAUGCCCUAUAGUGGGGAAUAGCCCAGGGAAACUUGGAUUAAUACCCCAUGGUCUCGCAAGAGUAAAGGUGGCCGCAAGGCUGUCGCUAUAGGAUUGGUUCGCGCCCUAUCAGCUUGUUGGAGAGGUAACGGCUCACCAAGGCAAUGACGGGUACCUGGUCUGAGAGGACGGUCAGGCACACUGGAACUGAGACACGGUCCAGACACCUACGGGUGGCAGCAGUCGAGAAUAAUUCACAAUGGGGGCAACCCUGAUGGUGCAACGCCGCGUGGAGGAUGACGGUCUUCGGAUUGUAAACUCCUGUCAUCUGGGAGAAAGACCUGACGGUAAAUAGCUGGCAGGGUUGAUAGUACCAGAAGAGGAAGGGACGGCUAACUUCGUGCCAGCCGCCGCGGUAA